AUGCCGCGUGUGUGAAGAAGGCCUUUUGGUUGUAAAGCACUUUAAGCAGUGAAGAAGACUCCGUGGUUAAUACCCAUGGACGAUGACAUUAGCUGCAGAAUAAGCACCGGCUAACUCUGUGCCAGCAGCCGCGGUAAUACAGAGGGUGCAAGCGUUAAUCGGAAUUACUGGGCGUAAAGCGAGCGUAGGUGGCUUGAUAAGUCAGAUGUGAAAUCCCCGGGCUUAACCUGGGAACUGCAUCUGAUACUGUUAGGCUAGAAUAGGUGAGAGGAAGGUAGAAUUCCAGGUGUAGCGGUGAAAUGCGUAGAGAUCUGGAGGAAUACCGAUGGCGAAGGCAGCCUUCUGGCAUCAUAUUGACACUGAGGUUCGAAAGCGUGGGUAGCAAACAGGAUUAGAUACCCUGGUAGUCCACGCCGUAAACGAUGUCUACUAGUCGUUGGGUCCCUUGAGGACUUAGUGACGCAGCUAACGCAAUAAGUAGACCGCCUGGGGAGUACGGCCGCAAGGUUAAAACUCAAAUGAAUUGACGGGGGCCCGCACAAGCGGUGGAGCAUGUGGUUUAAUUCGAUGCAACGCGAAGAACCUUACCUGGUCUUGACAUAUCUAGAAUCCUGCAGAGAUGCGGGAGUGCCUUCGGGAAUUAGAAUACAGGUGCUGCAUGGCUGUCGUCAGCUCGUGUCGUGAGAUGUUGGGUUAAGUCCCGCAACGAGCGCAACCCUUGUCCUUAGUUACCAGCGGGUUAAGCCGGGAACUCUAAGGAUACUGCCAGUGACAAACUGGAGGAAGGCGGGGACGACGUCAAGUCAUCAUGGCCCUUACGACCAGGGCUACACACGUGCUACAAUGGUAGGUACAGAGGGCAGCUACACAGCGAUGUGAUGCGAAUCUCAAAAAGCCUAUCGUAGUCCAGAUUGGAGUCUGCAACUCGACUCCAUGAAGUAGGAAUCGCUAGUAAUCGCGGAUCAGAAUGCCGCGGUGAAUACGUUCCCGGGCCUUGUACACACCGCCCGUCACACCAUGGGAGUUGAUUGCACCAGAAGUGGAUAGCUAACCUGGAAGGCGUUCACCACGGUGUGGUUGAUGACUGGGGUGAAGUCGUAACAAGGUAACCA
rnacentral:rRNA from 1 species